CACUCCAGGGCAACGAUGAGUAGCCGAUUUGAGAGGGUGAUCGGCCACACUGGGACUGAGACACGGCCCAGACUCCUACGGGAGGCAGCAGUGGGGAAUAUUGCGCAAUGGGCGAAAGCCUGACGCAGCAACGCCGCGUGAGGGAUGAAGGUUUUCGGAUCGUAAACCUCUGUCAGAAGGGAAGAAAAUGCACUGUGCUAAUCAGCAGUGCCCUGACGGUACCUUCAAAGGAAGCACCGGCUAACUCCGUGGCAGCAGCCGCGGUAAUACGGAGGGGGCAAGCGUUAUUCGGAAUCACUGGGCGUAAAGCGCACGUAGGCCGCUUUGUAAGUCGGGGGUGAAAUCCCACGGCUCAACCGUGGACUUGCCCUUGAUACUGCUUAGCUUGAAUCCGGGAGAGGGUGGCGGAAUUCCAGGUGUAGGAGUCAAAUCCGUAGAUAUCUGGAGGAACAUCAGUGUCGAACGCGGCCACCUGGACCGGUAUUGACGCUGAGGUGCGAAAGCGUGGGGAGCAGACAGGAUUAGAUACCCUGGUAGUCCACGCAGUAAACGAUGGAUGCUAGAUGUCGGACA
rnacentral:rRNA from 1 species